UACGUAGGGUGCGAGCGUUAAUCGGAAUUACUGGGCGUAAAGCGUGCGCAGGCGGUGAGCUGUGUCCGAUGUGAAAGCCCCGGGCUUAACCUGGGAAUGGCAUUGGAAACUGGCUCGCUGGAGUGUGGCAGAGGGGGGUGGAAUUCCGCGUGUAGCAGUGAAAUGCGUAGAGAUGUGGAGGAACACCGAUGGCGAAGGCAGCCCCCUGGGCUAACACUGACGCUCAUGCACGAAAGCGUGGGGAGCAAACAGG
rnacentral:rRNA from 1 species